rnacentral:lncRNA from 1 species
CCUCGGCACAAUCUGACGCCAAAACGGCGUUAUGGGUCCACCGUCAACCCAGCAGACACCCAACAGUCCGGAACAGUCUGAACGCUACUGUAAAAAUACACUCGGUAUCCCAGCACGAGCGUAACUGAAAUCUAAACUACGUGGGUAUCCACCACGCUGAUACUGCGACGAUACAAAAUAACAACGGCUCCUAGAGCUAAAUCAGAUAGUUUAAACAUAUGACAGGUUCGAAUCGCAGGUUUUCUCCUAAGUCAUAUCCAAGUCCAACAUGUGCAAGUAGAUUUAGUAACACUAGGCUCCAAUUCAGAUUUUUGUAAAAGAAACAUCAAAUCCAUGAAUCGAGUGAAUAGGAUAUGCAAAAACAACUACAACAACACAUGCCGACUAUCUCUAUAUACUUAGAAGACAAACCGAUGAUUAACCUACCUCGAAAGCUACUCCCAGUCCGGCACGGUGUUAAGAACGGCUGAAACGCACCCUCACCCGGCCUCCCCGUAGCACUACGACGACAAAGACACGCUCGAACGGCACCGCGGCGCGACGUCGACAACACCCGAACUCCAACCGAGCUCCUCCACCACGCACGGUCGAGCACAAGGAGAAGAGAGAGAGAGCACUAAAAACAUCUCCUCUCUGAUCUCUCUAUCCUAUAUAGGGGGGAGAAGGGUUGGUGAUACAACCAAGGCAAGAGAAUUACCAAAAAGCCCCUUACCUACCUUGGUGUACCGGUACACGGACAAUUGUACCGGUACAAAUGGCAACCCGAGAGCAGCUGCGCAGGUUCUCGCAAAAUGUACCGGUACAUCUCGAUGGUUGUACCGGUACAGGAAGUGUACCGGUUACAACUCGAUGGUUGUACCGGUACAACAGGCAAAAAAUAGCCUAAUUCUAAUUUGCAAUGCUCACACCCUGCUCUCGCGUCGCAAUGAGUCCGUUUAGCAUCUAAUUCGCACCAACACGACUCAAACUUGUCCCGGCACUCUCCAGAGCUGUCGACAAGCCUCAACAGCAGAACUCCAUGGAUACCACAUCCUCCCCCACUAUAAAAAGUUUCGUCCUCGAAACUUAAGCAUACCUCAGCUCAGUGCAUCAAACAGAUAGGGAUAGGAUUCCCUCAUCACCGUCUCGGGCUCCCAAGUCGCCUCCCGCUCCUCGUGAUUACUCCACUAAACCUUCACAUACGGGAUGACCCGAUUGCGCAACUCUUUUGUCUCCCGAGCAAGAAUUCGUAAUGGUCGCUCCUCGUAUCUCAGAUCCUCACCAAUCUCUAGUGGAGUGAAGUCGAUCACGUGAGAAGGAUCGAGAAAAUAUCUCCUCAGAGCCGAGACAUGGAACACAUCGUGAAUGUCUGCUAGCCGUGGAGGUAGAGCAAUCCUGUAGGCAACCGGUCCAACUCGCUCUAAUACAUCAAAAGGGCCAAUGAAACGUGGACUGAGCUUUCCACGCACUCCGAAUCUGCGAAUCCCUCUGGACGGUGAGACUUUCAGAAAAACAUGAUCUCUAACCUGGAACUCCAAGUCUCGUCUCCUGAUAUCGGCGUAGCUCCUCUGGCGGCUCUGGGCUGUCAAAAGGUGUCGUCGAACAACUCUCACCUUUUUCUCAGCCUCUAGCAAGAUCUCAAGCCCUAGCGUCUUUCUUUCACCCACAUCACUCCAAAACAAAGGGGAUCGACAUCUGCGUCCAUACAACGCUUCAAACGGAGCCAUCCGGAUGCUCGUUUGAUAGCUGUUGUUGUACGCAAACUCAGCCAGUCUCAAAUGUCGAUACCACCCUCCUCCAAAGUCCAGAACACAUGCCCUCAGCAUGUCCUCUAGAGUCUGUAUGGUCUUCUCUAACUGACCAUCUAUCUGUGGGUGAAACACCGUGCUGAAAUGUAGCUGUGUACCCAAGGCUGUCUGAAGACUCCGCCAAAAAUGUGAAACAAACCUCGAGUCUCUGUCCGAUACAAUCAACAUCCCCCAUGCAGCCUGACGAUCUCAUCCAAGUAUAGCUGCGCGAGCCUCUCUCUGAACCAGAUAGUCUGAACAGGUAGGAAGUGAGCAGACUUGGUGAGUCUGUCCACUAUCACCCAAAUAACAUCGAAACCACCCAGUGCUCUAGGUAACCCCCCGACGAAGUCCAUCGUGAUCUGCUCCCAUUUUCACUCGGGCACUGGUAGAUUCUGAAGCUUGCCAGCAGGUACCUGAUGCUCGGCCUUUACCUGUUGACAAGUCAGACACUGAGCCACAAAUCUGCCAAUGUCCCUCUUCAUUCCAUUCUACCAGAACUAUGCCUUCAAGUCCUUAUACAUCUUGGUUCCACUAGGGUGAACCGUAUAAGGAGCACAAUGAGCCUCUCUCAAAACAUCCGCUCGGAUCUCUGAAUCCAUAGGCACACACAGUCGGUCCCUGUACCGCAGUACUCCCGAACUGUCUACUACAAAGCCCUCAGCCUGUCCCCUGUCUAACUGCUUUCGAAUCAUCAACAAGUGUGGAUCUCCACUCUGCUUCUCUCGGAUCCUAUCCAACAGAGUGGGCUGCAAGAUUAAAGACAUCAGUCUCACAGUAGACCCAGGGAACACUAUCUCGAGCCUCAGCCGCUGCAGCUCCUCGAGUAACGGCCUCUGCUGUGUGAUCAUCAAACUCAAGCUCUGCACUGCCUUCCUGCACAACGCAUCUGCCACCACAUUCGCCUUGUCGGGAUGAUACUGAAUACUAACGUCAUAGUCCUUCAGUAACUCCAACCACCGGUGCUGCCUCAGGUUCAGUUCUCUCUCGGUGAACAGAUACUUAAGACUUUUAUGAUCGGUGAAAACCUCACAGUACUCGCCGUACAAGUAAUGCCGCCACAACUUCAAAGUAAAGACUACCGCGGCAAGCUCCAAGUCAUGCGUAGGGUAAUUCUUCUCGUAAUCCUUUAACUGCCGUAAAGCAUAAGUAAUUACCCUACUAUGCUGCAUCAGCACACAGCCCAGCCCGCUGUGCGAUGCAUCACUGUAGAUCACAGAUCCUUCACCCAUCACAGGAAGGGGAAGGAUAGGAGCUGACGUCAACCUCUGUCUCAACUCAUCAAAACUCCUCUGACAAUCCUCACUCCAGAUGAACCGAAUCCCCUUUCGAGUCAAUCGUGUGAGGGGUGUGGAAAGCUCCGAAAAGCCUUCCACAAACCGACGGUAAUAUCCUGUCAGUCCAAGGAAACUCCUCACCUUAGUCACCGUCGUCGGUCUGGGCCAAUCCCGAAUAGCAUCGAUCUUCUUCGGGUCCACUGCUACUCCCUCAGCAGAAAUCACGUGGCCCAAGAAAGUAACCUCCCGCGACCAGAACUCGCACUUCUUCAACUUGGCAUACAACUUCUUCUCUCGCAGAAGCUGCAGCACAGUCCUCAAGUGCUCCUCAUACUCGGCAUCGCUCCGGGAGUAUAUCAGAAUAUCAUCAAUGAAGACCACCACAAACCUAUCCAAGAACGGUUUGAACACUCUGUUCAUCAAAUCCAUGAAUGCGGCAGGGGCAUUCGUCAAUCCAAAAGGCAUCACCGUAAACUCAUAAUGCCCGUACCGAGUCCGAAAAGCCGUUUUGAGAACAUCCUCGGCCCUCAUCAGCAGCUGGUGGUAACCGGACUGGAUAUCAAUCUUCGAGAAGACACAAGAUCCUUGCAGCUGAUCAAACACAUCAUCAAUGCGCGGCAAAGGAUUCUUGUUCUUGAUAGUCACCUUAUUCAACUCCCGAUAAUUCACAUAUAACCUGUGCGAACCAUCCUUCUUCUUUACAAAUAACACUGGCGCUCCCCAGGGCGAUACACUGGGUCUCACAUACCCCUUAUCCAUCAAAUCUUGAAGCUACGCCUUUAGCUCUCUCAGCUCCGCCGGUGCCAUCUGAUAAGGUAUCUUUGAGAUUGGUGCAGUUCCAGGAACUACAUCAAUCACGAACUCAAUCUUCCUCUCUGGCGGCAUCGUCGUCAACUCUGGAGGAAACACAUCCGGAAACUCGCGGACUACAGGAAUAUCCUCGAGUCCCGGCGCCGCCUAGGUACUUCAGCAACUGCGGCUAGAAAAGCAAUGCAUCCUCUACUCAUCAGCUGUCGAGCCCUCGCGAAAGAAAUCCAAACGGCAAACAACGUGCUCCUACAGCCCCUAAAAGUGAACUCCUCCUGGCCUGGCUUGCGGAACGUCACCGUCCUCGCUCCACAAUCGAUAAUAACAAUAUACCGCGCCAGCCAAUCCAUACCGAGCACAACGUCAAAGCCCUGCAGAUGCCCUAACACCAACAGGUAUGCGGUCAUAAUCCACGAAUCCAACUGCACCGGACAUGACCAACAACACUCUGCAACCUGUAACACAUGGUCGGAGAUCUGCACCUCUUGUGCCUGUGGCAAUGACCCUAAUUCUAGACCAUGCAACAAUGCAAAUGCUCAGCUAACAAAGGAAUGCGAUGCACCGGUAUCAAAAAGUGUACGAGCUCUAAUGCCAGAAAUCAAAAUAAUACCUACUACCACUCGGUCGGCUGCUGUAGAGUCCUCCACCUGGGUUACAUAGACCCUACCACUCGCAGCCUGCUAUCGCCGCUCACCCUGCCGUGGCACAGAUGCCCUAUCCUCCUGGCGGUAACUCGACGGUGCCCCAUAAGACUGCAGGGAGGCUGGCUGUGCAGAUGCUGUGGAUGGUACUGGUGAUGCUGCUCGAGGACAAGCUGAUCUCAUAUGCUCUGGCUGACCGCAACUGUAACACCUGCCCUCUCUCUGCUCGCACUACCGGGGCCAGUGGGGUCCCCCGUAGAUCACGCACUGCGGUGUCCUCGGUGGCUGUCCCUGCUGACGGGAUCCCCCAGAACGCUGACACCCCGAAGACCCAUGACCCUGAGAGUGUGAUCUUGGCGGUCUCGGUGGACGCCUACUGCUCGACUGUCCUGCAUCAUCUGGAAAGGGGCGCUUCCUGUCCUGACUCUGCCCCACGGCCUGAGUCCUCUCCCAAAUGGAAUCAUCACCUCUCUCAACCCAAAGAGCCUGCUCCAUCGACGCAUCCAAGGUCCACAACCUCUGCGCAUGAACCAACCGGAAGAUCUCGGGCCUCAAACCCUGCUCAAAGAGGUAAACUCGGUGCGCCUCAUCCCUGGCCAUGAACGGCACACAAUUCAGGAGUCGCGUGAACUCCCGAAUGUACUCCUGAACUGUCCGCUCACCCUGCUGGAUCUUCUUCAGAUCCUCCUCAAGCUUCUGUUUCACACUGUUGGGAAAUACAUCCCAAACAGCAUUCCACAGAACUCGUCCCACUUCAUCUGCAGCGCUACUAGCCCAUAGUCUCGCCUCAUCCUCCUCCACCAUGCGUGAGCAUUGCUUGACAAACAGUGGACUCCCAAAUGUACCUGCUAUCUCUCUGAGACAAAUAGAUCCUCAAAUAACUUCUCCAUCGCACUGACCCAGCCCUCAACAACCCAGGCCUCAGUGCAACUGCCAUCGAAGAUCGACGGAUCAAAACGGCGAAACCGAGCCAGCCUCUCUGUCAACCGCUCCUGCUUGGCCUCUGUCAUCUGUACUGGCCCCCUAGCAGGCACAACGGGUGUCACAGGAAUCUCCACUGGCUGGGGUACAACUGCGGCUGGUGCUGCUGCCGGGGUGGUCGAAGAUGGAACAGCCUGCUCUGGUGCGCUCGGUACUAUACUCUGUGACGGAGCCACUCUAUCACACAACCUCUGCAACAACUCCCCCUGUCGCCUCGUCACUUCUAUCAAGGCAGCCAACUGUGCACUCAAAUAAGGAGGUGCACCCACCUCCAGUCGGGCCCUCUACUCCACAACAGAGAGUGCACUCGCCUCUACUUGCUCCGGCAUCUCACGAGGUACGGCACGAUCCUGAGUCAACUGUGCACGAUCCCGCGUAGACGGUCGACCUCGGCGACGAUACAUAGCUGCAAGAAACAUAACGGGGUCAGAUCAAACAAACACUCUUGACCCAAUCAACGAAAGUCUAGAAGGCGGCCUCCUGUUUCUCCUCAAAAUUAUGUCGUCUGCAGCCAACAUAAUUUUUCUGGACCGAAACAGAAACUCUUUCAAUCACUCCCUCCGCUCCAGGAGGAGUUAGAACAAUCAAUCAGUGACUUACGCGAUAAAUCACGCCUCUCGCGUCUUGCUUUCCUAAGGUUUGCCAACUUAGGUUUCCUAAGUCCCAACGACCUAAUGCAAAGCUCUGAUACCAACUUAAUUUGUCACGCCCGGAUUUCUCGAUCCCCGGGCACGCCGACAAAUCUGCCGUACACAAAGAAAUUUUCUUUGUAUAUGAAGUGUAGCUGUACGUGUAUAAUAUACAAUACUACGACCAGUAAUAAAGAGCUGCUAGGAAAAUAAAACAUAACCAAGUAGAAAAGAACGGUUCACUAUACAUACAACAUCAAGUACACAAAAACUCGCCCAGCGAGAUACAGUAAAGGUAUGUAUAUGAACUCAAAAACCAUACUACCUAAAGCGGGUAAUCCUCUAGCUCGGCGACUCGUCGGGUAGGGCUCUAGCUCGCAACCCCCUUGCCACGAUCUGCCUCAAAAGAUGCAGCAACCGAAACCGAAGGCUAUGCAAAAACAGUGGUAACAAUUAGGCGUGAGAACUACUGUAAACACAAGUAGUCCUCAGUGGGUACCGUCCUCAACAUCGUCAAUCACCCACCAAGUCUACAGAAGGGAGCGAAGAUAGUAGGAAAAGCUGAAAAAAAUCUACAGCUAAAUGCCACUGCACUAUCCUACUCUACACUAACCAACUGUAAUAAAAGUCAAUUCUGACCCAAAUCUCACUAGGACUAUAAGCAUAUCCGUCCCUGGGACUGUGAAUACACCCGUCACGCCCGGUUGUGAAUAUACAGCUACCUCCACGCAAAGCAGUCAGUGGAGAGCGAGUCCAACCUGCACGAACGAUACCAACGCGAAAGCACAAUGCCUGUCUCUGGAGUGGCACUCGUGGGAGCUACCCAACCGAGUAUGCAACGUAUCUCUGUCGAGCUCAAUCAGACUCUCACAAGCCAAAGUCAAGUAAAUCAGAUCCAACUGGUCUAACAACGAACAGCUCACGUGCCCUCGGCACAAUCUGAUGCCAAAAUGGCGUUAUGGGUCCACCGUCAACCCAGACGGCACCCAACAGUCCGGAACAGUCUGAACGCUACUGUAAAAAUACACUCGACAUCCCAGCACGAGCGUAACUGAAAUCUAAACUAUCUGGGGUAUCCACCACGCUAAUACUGCGGCGAUACAAAAUAACAACGGCUCAUAGAGCUAAAUCAGAUAGUUUAAACAUGUGACAGGUUCGAAUCGCAGGUUUUCUCCUAAGUCAUAUCCAAGUCCAACAUGUGCAAGUAGAUUUAGUAACACUAGGCUCCAAUUCAGAUUUUUGUAAACUAAACAUCAAAUCCAUGAAUCAAGCGAAUAAGAUAUGCAAAAACAACUACAACAACACAUGCCGACUAUCUCUAUAUACUUAGAAGACAAACCGACGAUUAACCCACCUCAAAAGCUACUCCCAGUCCGGCACGGUGUCGAGAACGGCGGAAACGCACCCUCGCCCGGCCUCCCCGCAGCGCUACGACGACGAAGACAUGCUCGAACGGCACCGCGGCGCAACGUCGACAACACUCGAACUCCAACCG